UGGUGGGGGACAUAAGCCAAGAGAAUCCCUCAAACAUAUUCCCUUUCUUAACAUUGUUGACAAGUGUGAUUGUACCAUGUGUUUUCUUUGAACAAGUAGUGGACAGCAGUGAAAAAAAAAGUAUCAAUUUAAAGAUUCUGGACAGAUUGAAGGAGCCUACAAACGAGGAUAUCAAAAAAGAACGGUUAAAAUAUAUUGAGGCUCUUAACGAGUGCUAAACAUUUUUUUUUCGGUCAUUGCACUCGUUCCUAUAGGAUUGCUAGUGUGACCGACUGGUUGUGGCAUAUGAAGCAGAACAUGAAACGGGAAAACUGACAGUUCCUAACAGUAAGCAUCUUUGUUUAACUUCAAGCCACAGAAUAAACACAGACUGCCAUACACUUGACUUCUUGCUGUUACCCUACCCAUUGUCUGCUGUGGCUGCAUUGUGCGGGGCCAGCUUUAUGGCCAACCCUCAAAUCAGUCUUGUGCCGAGGCAAUGCAAACUGGUACUUUCAUUGAACCGUAACAGCUGGCAAGUGGAGUGCAACACAUUUCAUCGUCCCUGAUAUUCAGACGCAGGUUUACUUACAAUGCCUUUACAAAGAAAAAUUGUUUCACCUCUUAUCUCAGGCACAGCAUCUUUCCCUUUGUUCAAAGCCCUGGGGCAGCCCGUGUAACAUAAGCAGAUAAUUCAUGAUAAGAUUCACGGUAUGUAAGAAAUUGAGUUGUCAACACCACUUUGAGCCACCUCAGUCCGUGACAGGAAAU